UGCUUAACACAUGCAAGUCGAGCGGAAAGGCCACUUCGGUGGUACUCGAGCGGCGAACGGGUGAGUAACACGUGAGUAAUCUGCCUCUGGCUUCGGGAUAGCCACCGGAAACGGUGAUUAAUACCGGAUACGACACGCUCUUGCAUGAGAUGUGUGUGGAAAGUUUUUUCGGCCAGGGAUGUGCUCGCGGCCUAUCAGCUUGUUGGUGGGGUAAUGGCCUACCAAGGCUUCGACGGGUAGCCGGCCUGAGAGGGUGACCGGCCACACUGGGACUGAGACACGGCCCAGACUCUACGGGAGGCAGCAGUGGGGAAUAUUGGACAAUGGGCGGAAGCCUGAUCCAGCAACGCCGCGUGAGGGAUGACGGCUUCGGGUUGUAAACCUCUUUCAGCACAGACGAAGCGCAAGUGACGGUAUGUGCAGAAGAAGGACCGGCCAACUACGUGCCAGCAGCCGCGGUAAUACGUAGGGUCCGAGCGUUGUCCGGAAUUAUUGGGCGUAAAGGGCUCGUAGGCGGUUUGUCGCGUCGGGAGUGAAAACACCGGGCUUAACUCGGUGCUUGCUUUCGAUACGGGCAGACUAGAGGCAUUCAGGGGAGAACGGAAUUCCUGGUGUAGCGGUGAAAUGCGCAGAUAUCAGGAGGAACACCGGUGGCGAAGGCGGUUCUCUGGGAAUGUC
rnacentral:rRNA from 1 species